rnacentral:rRNA from 1 species
GACGAACGCUGGCGGCGUGCCUAAUACAUGCAAGUCGACCUUAGUGGCGAACGGGUGAGUAAAACGUGGGUAACCUGCCCAUCAGAAGGGGAUAACACUUGGAAACAGGUACUAAUACCGUAUACUGAUGGGUGGCCCCGCGGGGCAUUAGCUAGUUGGUGAGGUAACGGCUCACCAAGGCCACGAUGAAUAGCCGACCGUAGAGGGGGAUCGGCCACAUUGGGCCUGAGACACGGCCCAAACUCCGACGGGAGGCAGCAUUAGGGAAUCUUCGGCAAUGGACGAAAGUCUGACCGAGCAACGCCGCGUGAGUGAAGAAGGUUUUCGGAUCGUAAAACUCUGUUGUUAGAGAAGCGGUAUCUAACCAGAAAGCCACGGCUAACUACGUGCCAGCAGCCGCGGUAAUUC